CCAUAUUCUUCAUUUGGUGAUUCCAGGCUUGUUUCUGAUAAACCUGAUGACUAUGAGCAUGCAAAAGAGUUCAUCAAAGAUGGCAAGGCAAAGUUACCAUUGGGAACCUUGAGUAAAUCUGAAUGGGAAGCAACAAGUAUUUACUUGGUAUUUGCAUUUGAGAAGCAACUGUGAAACUUCACAUACUGGAUGCAGCAAGAAGAGAUAAUAUCCAUGUGCAAGUUGGAAUGGUCAGAAAUUCAUUGUGGCAACUAUUUUUUUACUUUUUAUUUUUUAAUUAUCAGAAGUGUGCAGGACACUACCAAAAACUAGAGCAAGCUCAUGAUUCUGAGUUACAUUGCCUGUCUGUGACAGAUGGACUUGUGUGUGUGUGUAUAUAAGAAAGAUUCUGAACCAGUCUUUUUAAGCAUUUGUAAGCAAUCUGCAUGCUCUCAAAACUCAUGUUUGAACUUGACACAACUUCAUGUUAGAAACAAAUGUUUUAUUAGUAGAAGUGUGUUUGUGAUUACAAGCCUGACCCUGCACUUUCUGAAGCUGAUGGAAAAAUGACUGUUGACUUUGAUGGUGCAGAAUGAGGGCCUAAAUAUUGUUCUGCAGAGCUCAGUUAAUUCAUAAUGAGAUAUAUUCAGACAUAUAGGGUAUGUCUACAUUGCAUGCAGAGCUAGAUGGCAAAUAAUAUCUAAGUCAGUUUGAGUACCUCUGUGCUGUGCUCAAGCCUGCAGUGUAAAUCUACCUGAGGUGUAGUUUGAAGGUGUAGUUUACAUAGUAAAGUCCCAUGAUGCUCUUGUUUUUUUGUGCUUGCUGAUAUGUAGUGUCACUUCAUGGUGCUUUUGAGAUUAGAUGAGUUUGUUCUGUACAAAA